GCCCGCUAGACAGCUCAAUUAAGCAGCUCGUUAAAGGCCAAGCUAACGAAGCGGCCUGCACUGCAAGCCUCAACAAACAAUGUGACUGUGCAGGCUACAAAUUGGUUUCCUGAACACUCUCCCUGUCUUCCAUUGUUUGGAAAACAUAUAGCCCUGACCAUGUGUUGCUGUAUUUGGCUCAUCAGGAUGUUUUGAUAGCACCACAAGGCCAAGCAGCUUGACUGAAUAGGCGUAUGAAUGGCUGUUUUCUGCCUACAUGAACCUAUUGGAGGUGGAUCAACCAUAUGCCCAUGGACAUGCACACUCAAUGACAAAGGCGGAUACCAACAGGUCCUCUCUGACACAAAGCGCCGAGGGGCUGAGGGAGGCGGGUGAGACGAGGGGUGCAUCUUAACCUGAGACGUCCCUCACACAAGAGGAGUGCAAUGGAGUAACUACUGUAGUUGAGGGCAAAUGAAGUUCAGCUGAGGUGAAGGGGUGAGACAACGUCAAAGAAGGAACAACGGAGAGAGAUCGAGAGACGUUGUCUAAUGAAGGAAUGCACAGAGAGAUGGAAACUAAUGGAGACAAAGGAUGUACAGAGUGAGAAGGAGAGGGAGAGAGAUGGCGAUGGGGUGGCUGACUGCUGUUGAACUCAUCCUCAUCUUAAUUGAUGAGGUCAUCCUGGGGAUAUCCCAAAACUAGAGUGUCCCCGGGAGGUCAUCACCAGGUCAUCCAAAAGUCAAAGUGCAUCGGAGAGAGAUGACGUAGCAUAUAACUUUUCUUUGGGUUUCU